CCUACGGGCGGUAGCAGUGAGGAAUAUUGGUCAAUGGACGAAAGUCUGAACCAGCCAUGCCGCGUGCAGGAUGACGGCUCUAUGAGUUGUAAACUGCUUUUGUAUUAGGGUAAAAACACCUACGUGUAUGAGCUUGAAAGUAUAAUACGAAUAAGGAUCGGCUAACUCCGUUCCAGCAGCCGCGGUAAUACGGAGGAUCCAAGCGUUAUCCGGAUUUAUUGGGUUUAAAGGGUGCGUAGGCGGUUUGAUAAGUUAGAUGUGAAAUACCGGUGCUCAACACCGGAAGUGCCUUUAAUACUGGGGAACUAGAGAGUAGUAGCGGUAGGCGGAAUGUAUGGUGUAGCGGUGAAAUGCGUAGAGAUCAUACAGAACACCGAUUGCGAAGGCAGCUUACCAAACUAUAUCUGACGCUGAGGCACGAAAGCGUGGGUAGCAAACAGGAUUAGAUACCCGAGUAGUC
rnacentral:rRNA from 1 species